UACGGAGGCGGCUAGCGUUGUUCGGCAUUACUGGGCGUAAAGCGCACGUCGGCGGAUUGUUAAGUCGGGGGUGAAAUCCCGGGGCUCAACCCCGGAAUGGCCUCCGAUACUGGCAAUCUUGAGGUCGGGAGAGGUGAGUGGAAUGGCGAGUGUAGAGGUGAAAUUCGUAGAUAUUCGCCGGAACACCAGUGGCGAAGGCGCCUCACUGGCCCGAUACUGACGCUGAGGUGCGACAGCGUGGGGAGCAAACAGG
rnacentral:rRNA from 1 species